UCCUUAUACUAAAUUUACUCUUCUAAGUUCUAACCGGAGCUUUUACACAUUGAUGGUAUCCACGAAAUGCUUAUCAACUAUCAACUUAUCAUGAUUAUUACAUACUUCUAGCUAGCUAAGUAGAACCCAUACAUUUUGAAGAAGUAGACUUGUGUGGAGCUCAAUGAUGAGAGUGGCAUAAUCAGCCAAUGCCUGUGUGGAGCUCAUAUAUCC
rnacentral:lncRNA from 1 species